rnacentral:rRNA from 1 species
CCUACGGGAGGCAGCAGUGGGGAAUCUUGCGCAAUGGGCGAAAGCCUGACGCAGCCAUGCCGCGUGAAUGAUGAAGGUCUUAGGAUUGUAAAAUUCUUUCACCGGGGACGAUAAUGACGGUACCCGGAGAAGAAGCCCCGGCUAACUUCGUGCCAGCAGCCGCGGUAAUACGAAGGGGGCUAGCGUUGCUCGGAAUUACUGGGCGUAAAGGGAGCGUAGGCGGAUAGUUUAGUCAGAGGUGAAAGCCCAGGGCUCAACCUUGGAAUUGCCUUUGAUACUGGCUAUCUUGAGUUUGGGAGAGGUGAGUGGAACUCCGAGUGUAGAGGUGAAAUUCGUAGAUAUUCGGAAGAACACCAGUGGCGAAGGCGACUCACUGGCCCAAUACUGACGCUGAGGCUCGAAAGCGUGGGGAGCAAACAGGAUUAGAUACCCUGGUAGUCCACGCCGUAAACGAUGAGUGCUAGUUGUCGGCAUGCAUGCAUGUCGGUGACGCAGCUACGCAUAAGACACCUCCGCCGUCGGGGAGGUACGGUCGCGAGAAGUUAAAACGUUAAAACGGUAAGUUAGACGGCGUGAGACGUCGCCGACGGACGACGACGAGGGAGGAGG